rnacentral:rRNA from 1 species
UACGUAGGGUGCGAGCGUUGUCCGGAAUUAUUGGGCGUAAAGAGCGCGCAGGUGGUUGAUUAAGUCUGAUGUGAAAGCCCACGGCUUAACCGUGGAGGGUCAUUGGAAACUGGUCAGCUUGAGUGCAGAAGAGGGAAGUGGAAUUCCAUGUGUAGCGGUGAAAUGCGUAGAUAUCCGGAGGAACACCGGUGGCGAAGGCGGCUUCCUGGACCGACACUGACGCUGAGGCGCGAAAGCCAGGGGAGCAAACGGG